GCUGGGCUUGAACUUGCCAUCCUCCUUCCUCAGCCUCCCCAAAUACUGGGAUUACAAGUGUAUACCACUACACAUGGCUCAGAAAGGACAUCCUAUGCUUUUGUAUUAAUUGUCCUUUAAAUGGAUUUUACAAUUCCCUCAUCAGUGUAGUCCUCAGUAUGAAAAUCUCUGAACUGUACAACUUUACCAGUUGAACUUGGGUAUGUGCCUGAUGUGUGGACCUGUAGGAUAAACCUAGGAAAACAAGCACCUUCUCAUUCUUCCCCAAAGAGGGCUGACUGUAAAACUAAGUGAAAGGCUCUGGAGAGAGUGAAAUGCUUCCACUCAUUAUGGAAGUUUGUUCACUGCACAAGUGUAUCUGACAGUAUAAAUCCAGGCAGGGAGAGGUGCAGAAGUCUCUCCAGAGACCUUGUGAGGUUCUUGGUAACAGGUGGAGGUUCUGACAGCCCAGUAUUGUGCAACUGUUUUCAGGACUGCAGGUCUGAGGUGAACUUGCUCAUUGUGAUUAUGGACCAAUGUAUAGGUUUUGUCCUAAUGAAACCUGAGGUGUGCAGUUUGAGAUGAGAAAAAUAACAUGAAUCAUACACUAAUUGUCUUGCACAUAGGUUUUCCCACAAGGGACUUUUCCCGACAUUGGCAGGUGAGAUGCAAAACAGGACAGAAAAAGGAGGGAGCUCAACACAGAGGCGGCGCCCGUGGAGUCCACCACUGAGGAUGAAGACAGUAAGGCACUCCAGGAGGUGUCCACAGAGUGACCCUGAACUGCCUCUGGUGACUGCCAAAUUUUAUUUUGGCAAUGUCUGUAGAAUAACUAUUUCCUUACAUUAAAAUCUAUAAAAUUCAUAAA